rnacentral:lncRNA from 1 species
UGGGGUGAAAGCCAUGCUUAAAAGCAAGGAAUUGUUAAAGGGGAAGAUGACAAUAGCCUUAGUUUUCUUUUUCAAGUUCAAUCUUUCACUUGGUAUCCUAAACUUUAUUUUCAAGAAGUUUGUGGUACAUGGACAUGGGAAACAUAUGCAUCUAGGGCUGAUGUAUAGGACAGGAUUUGGGUUGCUUUGUCUUCUUAUGAUGUUCAAGUUGGUGUUAUUUGGUUUGGUGAUACAAACAAUUAUUUACAUUGUUUGCAAGUCCUAUCACCAUGAGAAUAUUGACAAAUCUGCACUUUCUGAUCAUCUUGAAGUUUAUUUGGGUGAGUAUGAACCUUUGAAGUCCAAAGAUGUACAAAUGGAGGGUUAUGAAGUUUAAAUUAAUUUGACUUGUAUCUUCUGGUAUAUGUAUUAGAGUUCAUCUUCUGUUCCUUCACAGAACAAGGGGAAAAUGGAGCUUUUUUCUACUCAGAGAUUAGCCCAUUUGUAAUAUAAAGCAUAUGCAUCUAGGGAUGUUGUAUAGGACAGGAUUUGGGUUGCUUUGUCUUCUUAUGAUGUUCAAGUUGGUGUUAUUUGGUUUGGUGAUACAAACAAUUAUGUACUUUGUUUGCAAGUCCUAUCACCAUGAGAAUA